UCGGAUUGUAGUCUGCAACCCGACUACAUGAAGCUGGAAUCGCUAGUAAUCGCGGAUCAGAAUGCCGCGGUGAAUACGUUCCCGGGUCUUGUACACACCGCCCGUCACACCAUGGGAGCCGGGAAUGCCCGAAGUCAGUGGCCCAACCGAAAGGGGGGAGCUGCCGAAGGCAGGCCUGGUGACUGGGGUGAAGUCGUAACAAGGUAUC
rnacentral:rRNA from 1 species